rnacentral:rRNA from 1 species
AACCGCGCGAAGGUAGCAUAAUCACUUGUUCUUUAAAUGAGGACUCGUAUCAAUGGCACCACGAGGACUUUACUGUCUCCUUUUUCUAAUCAGUGAAACUAAUCUUCCCGUGAAGAAGCGGGAAUAAAUAGAUAAGACGAGAAGACCCCAUGGAGCUUUAAGCUUACUGCACCUCUAUUUUCUAUAACCUCUUAUUAAACGGAAUACUGCUUACUUAGCUUUAGGUUGGGGUGACCGCGGAGUAUAACAUAACCUCCAUGAUGAACAAAACUAUUUUCUUAUCUAAGAACAACAGUUCUAAGAAUUAGUAUUCUAACAUAAAAUGAUCCGAUAAUCGAUCAACGGACUAAGUUACCCUGGGGAUAACAGCGCAAUCCAUUUCAAGAGCCCCUAUCGACAAAUGGGUUUACGACCUCGAUGUUGGAUCAGGAUAUCCUAGUGGUGCAGCAGCUACUGAAGGUUCGUUUGUUCAACGAUUAAAAUCCU